rnacentral:rRNA from 1 species
UGCNCCCUUUAAGGACUUCGGUCCUUGGCAGACGGCUCAGUAACACGUGGAGAACCUGCCCUCAGGAGGGGGAUAACCCCGGGAAACUGGGAAUAAUACCCCAUAGGUCCAGAAUGCUGGAAUGCUUCUAGGCCGAAAGCUCCGGCGCCUGAGGAUGGCUCUGCGGCUUAUCAGGUUGUAGUGAGAGUAACGUCCUCACUAGCCUAUGACGGGUACGGGCCCUGAGAGGGGAUGCCCGGAGAUGGACUCUGAGACACGAGUCCAGGCCCUACGGGGCGCAGCAGGCGCGAAAACUCCGCAAUGCUCGAAAGAGUGACGGGGGGAUUCCAAGUGCCUACGCUUAGCGUAGGCUGUUCAGAUGCCUAAAAAGCAUCUGGAGUAAGGGCUGGGUAAGACGGGUGCCAUCUGUGGCAGCAGCUGAAGAUUUGGUUUGCUACUACAAGGCAUAAGCCGCCGCGGUAAUACCCGCAGCCCGAGUGGUAGUCGAUUUUAUUGGGCCUAAAGCGUCCGUAUCCGGUCUGAUAAAUGCUNGGGUAAAUCGUCU